UAGAAACACAAAGCAUGUGU
rnacentral:miRNA from 1 species